AAAGGGAAGGAAAAGAAAAUGUCCUCAUGGCCUCCACCCAGGGCAAAUCAGCAUGUACAUCAGAGCUGUAGUUAUUCAUGUUGAACACUUGCAAGAGAAUAACAUUUUUUUCUUUUCUUUUCUUUUUCCCCAUAAACAAAUGAUAAAAAAAAUCCUGCAAGUGGAAUUUGUAGUGCUCCCUUUCCUGCAUCCCCAGCUGCCACAGGCGUUUGAAGAUUUCAGAUGGGGAAAUAAAUGAAUGGAUUUCUCCAAACCUCAUUCCUUGCACAAUCCUUUCACUCUUCAGGGGUACCGAAAUGAGCUCAGCCCAAGGAUGCUUGCAGCAAUUUGUGUGUGUAACAAAGGGAAUGAAAUGCAUACUUCAGCAAAAGGUUUGGUGUCCUACAACACAGAGCAUACUGCUGCUCAGAGGGCUGGCCUCAGAGACCUCAGGAAAGCCACUCAAACGGAAGCUGAUGGCUGAAAUAUGUGAAUUUCCAAAAAGCUGUGAUGUUGGCCUUCAUCAGGCAAACCAUGAUCAUACAGCGAGCAAUGCUGCCUGGGAAGCAGUGACCAAAAAGGAUCUGAGGUCCAACUGUUAAGUCCCAACACCCAAUGUGAUGCUAUGGACAAUGAAGCUGAUGGGGCAUUGUGUGUUUGACGUGAAGAGUGCAGUGCGUCUGCAGCCCUCGCUUUUGUGAGCUCUCUGCCAGGCUUGGAACUGCCCCAGAUCUGAUGAUGAACCUGCAGAAGAGAGCAGGAGGUGGACAGAAGGCUUCCUUGAGGGCAUCUUGCUGAAUACAACAUAGCCAAAGCCUUUGAAGGAGUUGGCCUUGCAUGGCAUGUCAUCAGAUGGUGCUUUUAAUGAGUCAAGCCUCACUCUCCAGAGAUGGCUGGGAUGGGUUCUCCGUGUUCCUAGAGUCAUCAUCUAUGAUUGUGGAAUAAAGAGAAAGAUUUUUCAU
rnacentral:lncRNA from 7 species